ensembl:rRNA 5S_rRNA 5S ribosomal RNA
GUCUUCGGCCAUACCACCCCGAACGCGCCCGAUGUUGUCUGAUCUGGGAAGCUAAGCAGUUGGGCCUGCUCAGUACAGUCUAGUGUACUUCUCCGUGGGGAGCGCUGCUGGGCGAGCAGC